rnacentral:rRNA from 1 species
GAGGGGGGGGGGGAAUUUCAGGGGUAGCGGUGAAAUGCGUAGAGAUCUGAAGGAAUACCGGUGGCGAAGGCGGCCCCCUGGACAGAUACUGACACUCAGAUGCGAAAGCGUGGGGAGCAAACAGGAUUAGAUACCCUGGUAGUCCACGCCGUAAACGAUGUCUACUUGGAGGUUGUGGCCUUGAGCCGUGGCUUUCGGAGCUAACGCGUUAAGUAGACCGCCUGGGGAGUACGGUCGCAAGAUUAAAACUCAAAUGAAUUGACGGGGGCCCGCACAAGCGGUGGAGCAUGUGGUUUAAUUCGAUGCAACGCGAAGAACCUUACCUACUCUUGACAUCUACAGAAGCCAGCGGAGACGCAGGUGUGCCUUCGGGAACUGUAAGACAGGUGCUGCAUGGCUGUCGUCAGCUCGUGUUGUGAAAUGUUGGGUUAAGUCCCGCAACGAGCGCAACCCUUAUCCUUGUUUGCCAGCACUUCGGGUGGGAACUCCAGGGAGACUGCCGGUGAUAAACCGGAGGAAGGUGGGGACGACGUCAAGUCAUCAUGGCCCUUACGAGUAGGGCUACACACGUGCUACAAUGGCGCAUACAGAGGGCGGCCAACUUGCGAAAGUGAGCGAAUCCCAAAAAGUGCGUCGUAGUCCGGAUUGGAGUCUGCAACUCGACUCCAUGAAGUCGGAAUCGCUAGUAAUCGUGGAUCAGAAUGCCACGGUGAAUACGUUCCCGGGCCUUGUACACACCGCCCGUCACACCAUGGGAGUGGGCUGCAAAAGAAGUGGGUAGUUUAACCUUCGGGAGGACGCUCACCACUUUGUGGUUCAUGACUGGGGUGAAGUCGUAACAAGGUAACCG